CUGAAAUAUUAAUGAUUUAAUUCUUCCAAAUAAGUGAACAUUUGACCAUAUAAUUCGGAGUUUAGUAUGACGUCCAUUAUCACUGAAUUAGUAUACCUUUUUGUUUAGGAGCCAGCUGAAGGACGCCUCCGGGUGCAGGAGUUUCUCGUUGCAUUGAAGACCCAUUGGUGGCCUUCAACUGGUGUCUGCUCUAUGGUCGUGGUGUUGUCUCUUUGGCACAUUCCCUAUUUCCAUUCUCAAUUUUAUUUCUGUAGAAAGCACGUAAAAUCGUAGUAAAAACUUUCCUACAUUUAUUUUAAAAAUCAUCAAUUCUUCAAUUUCAAAUCCAUAGAUUUUUCUUUAAAAACUAUAUGGUGUUAAUAUCUAAAUAAUUGUUUAAAUGAUGUUAAAUAGUUUUAAGGUACUAUAUUUGACAGUAAAUCCCACAUAAAGGUUGAAAUAAGGGUAACAUCAUCGCGUUGUAUGCAAUAAAAUGUCGAUUUAUUUUACGUUGUUCGCCAUCAGCUAUAGAUGGGUUAAUCAAAAGAGAAGGUAGUAAAGAGAUGUAUUUAGGAUUUGCUAAUAAAGAUAUUGGAAGAGGAUGGAACCCUUUGUUCUUAUUGUUGUUUCGUAAACUUAGAGAAAGCUUUUCCAAUUAAAGGUGAAAUUAAUGCCCUUUAAUGCAAGGAAACUUUGAAAAGCUGACAAAACAGUGGCGAUGAUACCAAGGGGGCAUUCAAACUCAUAAAUCGAAAAUAAACUGAAUUACAAAAAAUAAAAAAGACCAAAAG
rnacentral:lncRNA from 1 species